rnacentral:rRNA from 1 species
UACGAAGGGGGCUAGCGUUGCUCGGAAUCACUGGGCGUAAAGGGCGCGUAGGCGGACUUUUAAGUCGGAGGUGAAAGCCCAGGGCUCAACCCUGGAAUUGCCUUCGAUACUGGGAGUCUUGAGUUCGGAAGAGGUUGGUGGAACUGCGAGUGUAGAGGUGAAAUUCGUAGAUAUUCGCAAGAACACCAGUGGCGAAGGCGGCUCACUGGCCCGAUACUGACGCUGAGGCACGAAAGCGUGGGGAGCAAACAGG